rnacentral:rRNA from 1 species
UACGUAGGGUGCAAGCGUUAAUCGGAAUUACUGGGCGUAAAGCGUGCGCAGGCGGUUUUGUAAGUCUGAUGUGAAAUCCCCGGGCUCAACCUGGGAAUUGCAUUGGAGACUGCAAGGCUAGAAUCUGGCAGAGGGGGGUAGAAUUCCACGUGUAGCAGUGAAAUGCGUGGAGAUGUGGAGGAACACCGAUGGCGAAGGCAGCCCCCUGGGUCAAGAUUGACGCUCAUGCACGAAAGCGUGGGGAGCAAACAGG